rnacentral:lncRNA from 1 species
CUUCAGGCUGUGCGGGCAGCAUAGCCCAGGAGAGAGCAGACUCCGUACCUGCUGAGCUCAGCAGGCCAGGCCCACCCUCCGCCCUCCUUUUUGUCCUUCUGCUCCUCCUCUUCCUCCACCACCUCCUAGAUCAGGAUGGCUGCCCAGCCAUGCACCAUUUUGUGGGCCAGGCCAGCUGAAGCCAUGCUCCGAUUCUGCCUUCCCCAGGGACCCCAGCACUUCCUUGGCAGAGGAAGCCAUCCCACCCUCAGCCGAGAGAGGAGACCAGAGGUCCAUCUCACUAAACACCAGGAGCGACACACCCUCAGCUCAGAUUUGCUUGGAAGGUCCUGGAUGAACCCAGAAACUGGCUUUGAGCCCCAAUUUGCCCAGCUGACCCAUACCACCCCUCUUCACCUUAUACCAGACUCACUCUGAAUGGAUGGCUGCCCCCUCCAAAUCCUACCCCAGACCCCCGGCUGGCUCCAGAGACUCCCUGGAGUAACUGCCCACAGGGACCUAGUAUCUCCGGCCAAAUUUAGUUCUGCACCCUGUCCCCACAAGGCACCUGCUCACCAGCCUCCCAACCUCUCCCACCCAGUUCUUCUACCCU